UACGUAGGGUGCAAGCGUUACUCGGAAUUACUGGGCGUAAAGCGUGCGCAGGCGGUGAUGUAAGACAGAUGUGAAAUCCCCGGGCUCAACCUGGGACCUGCAUUUGUGACUGCAUCGCUAGAGUACGGUAGAGGGGGAUGGAAUUCCGCGUGUAGCAGUGAAAUGCGUAGAUAUGCGGAGGAACACCGAUGGCGAAGGCAAUCCCCUGGACCUGUACUGACGCUCAUGCACGAAAGCGUGGGGAGCAAACAGG
rnacentral:rRNA from 1 species